AAUCUUCCGCAAUGGACGAAAGUCUGACGGAGCAACGCUGCGUGAGUGAUGAAGGCUUUCGGAUCGUAAAGCCCUGUUGCCAGGGAAGAACGCUUGGGAGAGUAACUGCUCUCAAGGGUACGGUACCUGAGAAGAAAGCCCCGGCUAACUACGUGCCAGCAGCCGCGGUAAUACGUAGGGGGCAAGCGUUGUCCGGAAUUAUUGGGCGUAAAGCGCGCGCAGGCGGUCAUUUAAGUUUGGUGUUUAAUUCCAGGGCUCAACCCUGGGUCGCACUGAAAACUGGAUGACUUGAGUACAGAAGAGGAGAGUGGAAUUCCACGUGUAGCGGUGAAAUGCGUAGAUAUGUGGAGGAACACCAGUGGCGAAGGCGACUCUCUGGGCUGUAACUGACGCUGAGGCGCGAAAGCGUGGGGAGCAAACAGG
rnacentral:rRNA from 1 species